UACAGAGGUCUCAAGCGUUUGUUCGGAUUCAUUGGGCGUAAAGCGCGUGUAGGCGGCUUGGUAAGUCCGUUCUGAAAGCCCGGGGCUCAACCCCGGGAGGCGGAUGGAUACUGUCAAGCUUGAGUCCGGAAGAGGCGAGUGGAAUUCCCGGUGUAGCGGUGAAAUGCGCAGAUAUCGGGAGGAACACCAAUGGCGAAGGCAGCUCGCUGGGACGUGACUGACGCUGGAGACGCGAAAGCGUGGGGAGCAAACAGGG
rnacentral:rRNA from 1 species